rnacentral:rRNA from 1 species
AAGCGGGAGAGCUCAAAUUUGAAAGCUGGCACCUCCGGUGUCCGCGUUGUAAUCUCGAGACGUGUUUUCCGUGCGGCUCUAUGGACAAGUCCCUUGGAAUAGGGCAUCGUAGAGGGUGAGAAUCCCGUACUUGCCAUGGAAGAACCGUGCUUUGCGAUACACGCUCUAAGAGUCGAGUUGUUUGGGAUUGCAGCUCAAAAUGGGUGGUAGACUCCAUCUAAAGCUAAAUAUCGGGGAGAGACCGAUAGCGAACAAGUACCGUGAGGGAAAGAUGAAAAGCACUUUGGAAAGAGAGUUAAAAGUACGUGAAAUUGUCGAAAGGGAAGCACUUGAAGUCAGCCAUGCUGCUUGAGACUCAGCCUGGCCUUUGGGCUUGGUGUAUUUCUCGGUGGCAAGCCAGCAUUGGUUUGGGUCGUCGGAGAAGCGCAUAGGGAAUGUAGCGUUUCCGGACGUGUUAUAGCCUUAUGCAGGAUACGACGACCUGGAUCAAGGAACGCAGUGUGCCCUCUGGGCGG